GUAGACAGACGUAUCAACAGCUUUGCUUUUGGCAAAGUGAAAGCAGAUUUGGAGUGAUACCUGAGUUGGAUCCUGGCUCUUCCAACUACUCACUGUCUGACUUUAAAUUCAGCCUUUAAAAAACGUUGGCACUCUCCAAAGGCAGCAUGACCUUAGAGGAGCAUGAAUGAACUCCUUCAUGUUUUCUACUGUCAGGAGAAGACAGACCUGAAGUGGUGCCUUGAUAUACGCACAUUCUGCCAGACUACAGUAAGAUGUGACAGGCAUAUAUUGUCAGAACAAGGGCUGCACUCAAACUUUGAAAAGAUAUUGGCUCCACUUAUUAAUGAUCAAGACUUAAAAUAUCCUGGAGUUUGGCUGUUGUAAGAGGUUUAUGGGAAACUAUUCUAGGCUUGCCAAACCACCAAGUGACUUCACAGGUACAAAACAUGGAUGCCCCAAGAACAGGAGAAGAACCCCCACUAGGGGGAGCUGGAGAUGGACUUUUAGGACCUUGGUGGUCUCUGUGAUGUGUUAUCCUGUCCUGGCAUUCAAUACCCUGGUGAACCCACAAGUGCUAAAUUUGAAGGCUAUGGGGGUCAGGAUAGCUGACCCCUCAGCUUUUGUUGGUCCCUGGGCUGUUAGUUUCAGCUCAACAUGGUGAUCCAUUCUUCUUGCCCGAUGGCCAAAGAAGGGUGUCUCCUGGGAGCCUCUGGGAAAGCUUUCAUUCCUUUGAACAAAACGGAUACAAGAAGAAGACAGCCCCUCGGAAGCCUAGCUGAGGACAGAGCCCACCCAGUGACAGGGUGGAGCAGAGAGGCCACAGAACCCGGACCACUGCUGACGCUGUUGAUCUGGAGCUUGUAUUGCUCAUGGAGUCCACCCCACCAUGGCAUCUGUUAUGUGAGAUAACUCUGUGGGCUGUUCUGGAGCCAAGGGAGGGACCAAAGGGGAAAAUAGGGGGCACCAGCCCAAAGGGACCCAGACCUUCUCCAAGGACAUUCAGAUUUUGCUUUGAGUCUACAAAAACUAGAACUUUCUACAGAACCUGGAAUGCCACAGAGGAAACAAUCCCACCCGGGGAGUCAGAGAACCUUAGAGCCAAUAUGGCCCUAAGGUUAAUUCCAGUGGCGGAGGAAGCCAUGUCUGAAUGGGAGCCUCAGCUGGCCGCCCGUGUAAGCAGCUUCUCUGAGACCUUGCAGAGGAGUGAAGACCUGGAGGGGGUGCUCAUGCACUCCUUGCUUUUGGAACCAGAGAAUUGGAGCCCAGGGAACAUUCUGGAGGUGCCAGGUCACACCACCCAUUCUUCACAGGGUUCUCCCACAGCCAGAUGCUAUGGGAGAGGCCCAUCUCAGUAUGUGGGUGCUGGGAGGCCGAGAUAGAACUCCCCCGACCAAAGGAGAGACUCAGACUGACUGCACGGUACCCCUCAGCUGGCAGUUCUGUAAUGGUGCGCAAGUUGUUUACUCUCAGUUUUCUCUUUUUAAAAAAAGGAUAUUAAUGUGGAUCUGUUGUAAAAUUUAGAUGAGAUAAUGUAUGUAAAUCACUCGUAAUGUGCUCAGAACAUAGUAAACGCUCCAUUUUCAACGACAACAGUGACAACAACACAGGCACCCAGGGCCACUCCUCGGCUGCCAAGGAGAGCCACUGAGCUCUCCUAACCGUGCAGGGGCCCCUCAAGCCUGAAUGGACGGAUCCGUGAAGCCAACACAUGGCUGUCUUGGUAUGCGCCUGUAACUCCACCCAAAAGCUCUUUUUUGGAGUUUGGGAUGGAGCCUCAUAGCUCGUUGAUGAGCUUAGCUGACCUGUGAGGUUUCGUCUGGGUUUGAGGGUGGCCAAGAAUGACCACUUAGGUCCUACUCCAAGUUCUUUCAUUUGGGUCUACUCCCAAAGCAGCUGGAAGCGGUGCAAAGGAUGGAAAUGAGACAACGGUACAUCCACUGGGUGGCUGCUGCUCCCUGUGGCCUCUUCUGUCAAUUCACGGAGAAGCACUCCCCAGAGUCUGGUGACGUUGGCAGCCAGUGAGGAGCAAGAUGUCUGCCUGACCGGAGGAGCACUGAGCUGCAGGUUCGCUGCCUCUCUACCUCGGCCACAUCACACCCAGGUCUAAAGGCCAAGCCUUGAAAUUCUUCCUGUGUCAGCCUUGGAGCCGUCAGCCCUUGUCUGUACCUGUGCUGCACGCAGGAGGUUGUUAGUCCAUCAGGAGCCUUAUGAAUUGUUAGAAGAUCCCCCUUCCUCUGGGCAGAUGCAGACCUGGGUCAGGGCACAGCGCGCCACGCUAAGCCUGUGCAGGGCUGAAGCUGCACGACCACCUGUGCAGCCGUGGCUGCAGCCCUGGGAGUCCCCAUCUCUGUGCGGGGCCCGCUGCAGUGACCUCUGCCUUGGGGUGGGCAAAGGAAGUGGGCUUCCCUCGGUGUGAAGCCGGACAUAUGGGCACACUCUAGGGAUCUUCCUACUUAGCCACCGUUGCUGUUUGCUGUCAGAGCAGACCCAAAUCUGAUACCAGGAGCUGCAUGAAGGAGACAGAUCACUGAUCUGGAACAUGGGACUGCCUGCUGAACAUCAAAUUAGCAGACUCCUGACCAAAGGCAGGAGAGACGGGGGACGUGACUGUGUACAAGGACAGACAGAGAUCGGGAGAGGGCCAGUCAAAUGUGAAGCAUCUGCUCUCUUCUCUGUCUAGCAUCUCUUCAGGGAACUACCUUCCUUCGAUUCUCAGUCCAUGAAGUUCAGAUGAAGCCCACCUCACCCCCAGCACCAAGGGUGGAUCUGUGAUAUGUACAUCAUAUCUAUGUGCGCAUAUCCUUUGGCCACCAGCAUUGGUUUAGGGUUAGGCACAUUACCCAAGCCAGGCUACUCAGCCUUGUCUGAGAUAUUUCCUGGAACUAGCAAAAAAGAUGACCCCACCCCACAUGGCCGCUGAUGGAAUCAUUAGCUGGGAAAAUGAUGUAAGUUUAGAGCAGCCAAUGGCUAUCCUUGCUAUUACAUGAGGAAGGAGAGUCAGCCUGAGCAUGAAGUCAAUCCUGAGAAAGCAGAGAAUAAAGACACUGCGGCGUGCAUCUCCUAAAGCGAAGAAUCGUUUCCUACAUAACCGCAAGCCAUCACAUACAAAAACGACCCAGGGUGGAAUCUUUUUAAAUUCUGUGUUUCUUCGCUGGAAGUUCUCCUGGUGAUCUACAGUCACAGGGAUGCCAGCGGCUUGCUGGCGACAGUAACCCCAUCCUGAUCAUGCCCUCGCAGGAAGACGAGGGAGGGGAUCAGAACUGGCCGCAGGUGUUUGAAGGGCUGUCACUGGAAGAAUGAGCGGCGUUUCCCUCUGGCACUGCAGAGGAGGCACUUGGAAUAAAGAGAAGUUUCAAGGAGGCAAAUUGAUUCUGG
rnacentral:lncRNA from 1 species